CUUGCAUGAUUGAUAUGAUCAAUCAUACUUAAAAUAAGAUGUUGUAUUUAUUCAUAUCAUAUGAUCCUAAUUAGAUAGUUUCUAGAUCAGAUCUAGGGCAUGCAAAUACAAUAAAAUGUUUAAUCUGUAGCCUUUCACUAUAAUUUUUGAAAAUAUAUGCUUUGAACUGUCGAUUUUUUCUUCAAGUGAUAUUAGAGUCACAUUUCU
rnacentral:lncRNA from 1 species